UACGAAGGGGGCUAGCGUUGCUCGGAAUCACUGGGCGUAAAGCGCACGUAGGCGGAUUGCUAAGUCAGGGGUGAAAUCCUGGAGCUCAACUCCAGAACUGCCUUUGAUACUGAAGAUCUUGAGUUCGGGAGAGGUGAGUGGAACUGCGAGUGUAGAGGUGAAAUUUCGUAGAUAUUCGCAAGAACACCAGUGGCGAAGGCGGCUCACUGGCCCGAUACUGACGCUGAGGCACGAAAGCGUGGGGAGCAAACAGG
rnacentral:rRNA from 1 species